UACGGAGGGUGCGAGCGUUGUCCGGAUUUAUUGGGUUUAAAGGGUGCGUAGGCGGCCGUUUAAGUCCGGGGUGAAAGCUCGCUGCUCAACAGCGGAACUGCCCUGGAUACUGGAUGGCUUGAGUACAGACGAGGUUGGCGGAAUGGACCGAGUAGCGGUGAAAUGCAUAGAUACGGUCCAGAACCCCGAUUGCGAAGGCAGCUGACUAGGCUGUUACUGACGCUGAGGCACGAAAGCGUGGGGAGCGAACA
rnacentral:rRNA from 1 species